rnacentral:lncRNA from 1 species
GCUUUCAAGAUGUUUGCUCUGCCACAGACAUUGGCUUCUCAAAUAAAUCCUGUCCAUUUGGUCACCCUUUUCUCCAUCCACCUAUGGCACAGGCUUUGGAGACUCUGCUGUUUAUCUUUUUGUUAAAGUCAGAGACUGCUGCCUUGAUUAUACACAUCACAAUUUUUUCCUUAAGUGCUUUGAAGGAGCAUAACGUGGAAAAUGUUAACAGUGUGUUGAAGUGAACAAGGAUGAUACAAUGCAAAGCAGGGGAGGCAAGCUAGUAAAACAAUGUAUGUACAGCGCCUGACACGAUGCCUAGAACACAAGCAUUAGCCCCAUUUUCCUGCCAGCUCACUACAGUGGUUGCUUGCUUGUUGCCUCUUCAUCCGCAUCUGGACCAGGGAAUUGUGUCAUAAAGAGCAUCCCUUCAGAGCUGAAGUACCAGGUAUGCCCUAGGCCUUGGCUACUGGAAAAUUUUUCUUAGCUUUUAAGGUGUAGGAGAGCUCACUGCUGAAGCUGGUAGAAUUUAAAAAAUAAGACAUUUUUUCAGAUUGCUUAAAUGACCUUCAGUCUUGGCUAAAAAUUGAUGCCACAUUAGAACCAUCUUUUGGCAAUGAAUUAGUUCAAAUCCACAUGGGGAAAAAAAUGGGGUGGAAUUUAUUUAACAUGCUGAAGGGCAAGGACGACCCUUUAGUAAAUUAAUGUUCACUGUGCAUAGUUAUGUUUUGGACGACAUGGUUUGACCUAUGAUAUGUCCAGAUCUGUUUUUUUUAAUGACCUUUGAACAUGGUGCCUAGUUUUUCUCUCCUUGAGUGGGAACUGUACUUAGUCAUUGGCUUCUAAAGAAUAGAAUGUGGAGAAAGUGAAGGUGUAUGACUUCUGAGAUAAGGACAUAAUAGCCUCCUCCUUGUUCUCUCUUGGACCCUUUGCUCUGGAGGAAGCCAGCCACCAUGUUGUGAGGAUGAUCAAACAGCCCCAUGGAGAGCUCCACAUGACAAGAAGCUGAGACCUCCUGCAAAGAUCCAGCAAAGAACUGAGGCCUUCUGUCAACUGUCAUGUGAAUGAGCUACCUUGGAAGUAAAUCGACCAGCCCCAGUCAAGCCUUCAGAUGACUGCAACCCUGGCUGAUGUCUUGACUGCAAUCUCUAUGAGAGACCCUUAGCCAGAACUGCCCAGUGAGUUGCUCUCAAAGUCUAGGCCCACAGAAACAUAGUGCUUCAUAAUGAGAUAAUGGUUGCUGUUUUAAGCUGCUAAAUUUG